AGCUCAGAGCAAGCAAGCAAGUGGUUGUCAGUGCAGCUAGUAAAUCACCUGAUCCUAUUACAAAAUCAAUUACUGCAGUGCAUUUCCAUUGCUACACAAUCUGAUGAUGACAAAAUGAUAUUGGAUAGCUACUGCAAGGUCAAGAAAACUGCUAAGAACAUCUUUAAUUGGUCUUUUCCUUUUAAUCAUUUGGCCCUAGUUAUAAUGCAGCCAUUUUAAUUGUAUAUUUUUAUUUGAAAUAAAUCUAUGUAGUUACCUUUGGUUGUCUGGGACAUUCGAUGGAUAAUCUCUGCAACUGGUCUGAUGUAUGGCUACAAGAGAAAAGAUCGGAGCAGCAGGUCGAACGGCUCAACCUCUUCAUUAAAGAAGAAAUAAUGCUGCAGCCACAGCCACACAUUGACUUGCUCAUUAGAUGAGAAUUUGACUUAAAAAAUCAGAACUGGUAAUGUCCCGUAUAUACUCAAAAUUGGCUAACUGCCUCAUUCUGCAGCUCUCCGGCUAAAAGAAACACUGCUAAAAAAGAAUAAAACAACAGCUUCCCCACAGAUGAUACCAGCCACAAACUCAUCGCCAAGAAAAACUGGAUAUUAGAAACAGAACUCUCUUGGCUACUCUUCAGACAUAAGUUUAGAUCUGUUUGCCUACUCCUUCAGCUCAGCCUAUCCAACCUGUUCCCUUUGUAAAUGCACACUAUUUCAACAACCAACAGGAAUGAGCCCCACCCCUUGCUGUCCCCACACACACCGUUCAAGAACCACUCAAUAUCUGGAAAAGAACUGCUGCAGCAUUGCUUUGAGAAACAACAGGGAGCAAAUUACUGAACGGAUUCUUUAACUUACCAAUCAGAACUGCUGACCUUUUAUGACUCUACAAUUCAAGAAGCCUGCCAAAUACUCACAGUAAGAAAAAUCAACUGAUUUUAUUUCUAUACUAUAGAUUAAUUUACAGAAUUGUUUUCAAUCUUAUUAUUUAAUAUAAAAUUGAGUAAGAAACAGAAACAUAAACCUAAGUAUUUUCUUAGCAAACAAAUUUUAGGUAGUAGCUACACAAAGUAGCUCAUCUUUAAGGGUUGGUGGGAGAGGGCAGGAGGGUGGUUGAAUAAGAUGCAGAGUAAAAAAAUCCUUCUGAAUACUGUGCUUAGACUUGAGAAGUAAUGAGAAAUACAAUCCUAUAGAAAAAUAACAGUGCAGAUAAUGAUAAAAAUAAACAGCAAGAUAGUCCAAGGAAGCCCCUGCUAUCAUAAAGAGUUUUAAUAAGAAGAAAAAGACAUGUGGCUAUCUAGAUAGGUUAUUAAUAAUAAGUAAAAAGCCAUCAAGAAUCUGUUUUGAUUAUUGAAUCUUCUCAUUUGGUUAUUUGCAUUUCAUUAGAUUUUUUUAAUACCACAAACCACUCAAAAACAUAAGAAAUAGUAUUAAGAAUGCUAGCCAUUUUCUAGUAUCUUUUAUAUUUAAGCAUUCUACCUUUCCUAAUAAUAUAAUUAUUUACAUCAUGUAAUUAUAACCCACAACAAGGAAUAUCACAUUACUAUAAAUACUUCACCAUCUCAAAUAAUCAUACUUCAAAUAAUUAUAACUUAAUAAACAGUCACAGACCUGUGACUUGCCAAUCCUUGUUAACAACACCUUUUUGGGAAAAGAUGGUCAAGAAACUGAAUGUAAUAAAACAUCUCCAUUUAAAAUAUAUAUUUUUAAAACUCCAUAUUUUCUGUGGCAUUGAAAGCUUCCUCAUUUGUGUAUGUAUUGUGUUCAAUUUCUUCCCUGGUUUAAAGCUAAAAGAGCCAAUAUUGCCUCUGCCUUCACCUUGUACUGCCCUUUUGAUAUUCAUGUUAUACUUAAAUCAAUUCUUCCAGAAUACCUAAAAAAACAGGCAUGCACUUCACACUGAUUUAAAAAAAAAAAAAAACUUUUGUAGAUAAGGUCUAUGGAAACAAACAAGCAAAAUAAUGCAGUAACCUUUUACUCGCCUGCUGGAGGUACUGUCUGCUGCACAGAAUUUUAAAGCCUCAUCUGCAGAUGCAAUUGUGCUGGUAUUGCCAAGAAGUCUGCCUUUGCUGUGCUGCUGCUAUACAAACUAUUCAUCGAAAGAGCACUUUAUAUGGAAAACAUGAAGUACUAUCAGUUUAAGUUUCUUAUAUGAUUUAACAAAAGAACUUCUAAAAUUUAGUUAUCGCUCUGCUCUAGAUAAUCUCAGGUGCAUGUUAGACACGUUAGAGAAAAAGGUCCUAUUGCUGCUGAUGCAUUACUUUAGCAAAUGUGUGAGAUGAGGAAGCUGAAAGAGGUAAUGAAAAAAUUAAUACAUCAUGCUAAUGUAAAAAUAAGUACCAAGUAUUAAAAUCUGACACAAUUUAUAUUGCCAAUGAAUGCACAACAUGCCCUUAAUAGCUUGAGAUUUUUAUGAAUUUUAUAAUUAGCAGAAGCCUAUAAAUAAAUCAUUGUCUAAUAUUAACAGACAAGUACCAAUUAAACAACUCUACCAAAUACAUACUCCUGAUAAUGAAAAUAAGUUAUUUUACUAGCUCCUCAGUAUCACUACUGUUUCUGAACGAAACAAUGAAAUAAAAUAUCCAAAAGAACAGAAUGCUUCUGAAAUAUCUCGACUUGCAAUGCUUCUUCUUCCUUGUCACCCCCACCAAUAUCCCUUGUCUCUCAGAUUAUUUUUAACCAAAUUAGCUUAUAAGCAAUAACAGCUAUUUUCAUCAUUUACAAUUUUCCUUCCAUGUCAGCUAAUUUGAUGUACUACUGAUUCUCUAUUUAGAUAGAAAGCAAACCAACAAGGAAUAACCAUUAAAAAUUAUCCAAAAAGCAGUAUAAUAUUGCUUACCCAAAAAGCAGUAUUUAAAUUUAGCCAUAGAUAUGUUUAAAAAGUAGAGGAGACAUUAAUAUUUGUUCAUUAAUGACAAUUGUAUCAUGCUACUUCUUCAAUAAGCUUAAUGGCAUUUCAAAGAUACUUUCUCCCUUAACUGCAAGUAAUUCUAAAUGUCAAAAACUUAUCUGAUAUUAUUGUAUUUAAAAAAACAAUUAUUCUUUCAUUUAAAAAUAACCAUAUGUUGUCAUAUAUAGCACCCUUUGAGAGAAGACUCCAACAAUUCUCAAAAUGUGGACUUGUGGGUUCCUAUGACUCUAUGAGAUCAAAACUAUUUUUUACAAUACUGAGAUAUCACUUAUGUUUUUACUCUCAUCUAUUUUACAAGUAUAUAUAAAGUAAAGUUUUACUCGGACUACAUGGCAUGUAAUAUCCAACCUGUUUGAACACAGAGGCAAAUGAGAAUACAAAUGUCUUCCACUAAGCUAGACUGCAGAAAUGAAAAAGAAUGCCAUUCUUUCCAUUAAUUUUUUUCCCAUUUCUUUCAGGAAAAUAUAGUAAUUUUCCCCAAAAGACAUGUUAAUUGUAUGAACAUGUAAUUGGAUGUUAUUUUUCAAUGAAUUUAAUAAAUCAAUACAUUUUAAA